AGAGUUUGAUCCUGGCUCAGAUUGAACGCUGGCGGCAGGCUUAACACAUGCAAGUCGAGCGGAAACGAUGGUAGCUUGCUACCAGGCGUCGAGCGGCGGACGGGUGAGUAAUACUUAGGAAUCUACCUAGUAGUGGGGGAUAGCACGGGGAAACUCGUAUUAAUACCGCAUACGACCUACGGGAGAAAGGGGGCAGUUUACUGCUCUCGCUAUUAGAUGAGCCUAAGUCGGAUUAGCUAGAUGGUGGGGUAAAGGCCUACCAUGGCGACGAUCUGUAGCUGGUCUGAGAGGAUGAUCAGCCACACCGGGACUGAGACACGGCCCGGACUCCUACGGGAGGCAGCAGUGGGGAAUAUUGGACAAUGGGGGAAACCCUGAUCCAGCCAUGCCGCGUGUGUGAAGAAGGCCUUUUGGUUGUAAAGCACUUUAAGCAGUGAAGAAGACUCUUCGGUUAAUACCCGGAGACGAUGACCUUAGCUGCAGAAUAAGCACCGGCU
rnacentral:rRNA from 1 species